AAAAUCCGUUGGUUUUAUAGAUCG
rnacentral:tRNA from 1 species